GAUGAACGCUGGCGGCGUGCCUAAUACAUGCAAGUCGAGCGAACGGACGAGAAGCUUGCUUCUCUGAUGUUAGCGGCGGACGGGUGAGUAACACGUGGAUAACCUACCUAUAAGACUGGGAUAACUUCGGGAAACCGGAGCUAAUACCGGAUAAUAUUUUGAACCGCAUGGUUCAAAAGUGAAAGACGGUCUUGCUGUCACUUAUAGAUGGAUCCGCGCUGCAUUAGCUAGUUGGUAAGGUAACGGCUUACCAAGGCAACGAUGCAUAGCCGACCUGAGAGGGUGAUCGGCCACACUGGAACUGAGACACGGUCCAGACUCCUACGGGAGGCAGCAGUAGGGAAUCUUCCGCAAUGGGCGAAAGCCUGACGGAGCAACGCCGCGUGAGUGAUGAAGGUCUUCGGAUCGUAAAACUCUGUUAUUAGGGAAGAACAUAUGUGUAAGUAACUGUGCACAUCUUGACGGUACCUAAUCAGAAAGCCACGGCUAACUACGUGCCAGCAGCCGCGGUAAUACGUAGGUGGCAAGCGUUAUCCGGAAUUAUUGGGCGUAAAGCGCGCGUAGGCGGUUUUUUAAGUCUGAUGUGAAAGCCCACGGCUCGACCGUGGAGGGUCAUUGGAAACUGGAAAACUUGAGUGCAGAAGAGGAAAGUGGAAUUCCAUGUGUAGCGGUGAAAUGCGCAGAGAUAUGGAGGAACACCAGUGGCGAAGGCGACUUUCUGGUCUGUAACUGACGCUGAUGUGCGAAAGCGUGGGGAUCAAACAGGAUUAGAUACCCUGGUAGUCCACGCCGUAAACGAUGAGUGCUAAGUGUUAGGGGGUUUCCGCCCCUUAGUGCUGCAGCUAACGCAUUAAGCACUCCGCCUGGGGAGUACGACCGCAAGGUUGAAACUCAAAGGAAUUGACGGGGACCCGCACAAGCGGUGGAGCAUGUGGUUUAAUUCGAAGCAACGCGAAGAACCUUACCAAAUCUUGACAUCCUUUGACAACUCUAGAGAUAGAGCCUUCCCCUUCGGGGGACAAAGUGACAGGUGGUGCAUGGUUGUCGUCAGCUCGUGUCGUGAGAUGUUGGGUUAAGUCCCGCAACGAGCGCAACCCUUAAGCUUAGUUGCCAUCAUUAAGUUGGGCACUCUAAGUUGACUGCCGGUGACAAACCGGAGGAAGGUGGGGAUGACGUCAAAUCAUCAUGCCCCUUAUGAUUUGGGCUACACACGUGCUACAAUGGACAAUACAAAGGGCAGCGAAGCCGCGAGGUCAAGCAAAUCCCAUAAAGUUGUUCUCAGUUCGGAUUGUAGUCUGCAACUCGACUACAUGAAGCUGGAAUCGCUAGUAAUCGUAGAUCAGCAUGCUACGGUGAAUACGUUCCCGGGUCU
rnacentral:rRNA from 1 species